ACGGGAGGCAGCAGUGGGGAAUAUUGGGCAAUGGGGGCAACCCUGACCCAGCAACGCCGCGUGAAGGAAGAAGGCUUUCGGGUUGUAAACUUCUUUUACCAGGGACGAAGACGUGACGGUACCUGGAGAAAAAGCUCCGGCUAACUACGUGCCAGCAGCCGCGGUAAUACGUAGGGAGCAAGCGUUGUCCGGAUUUACUGGGUGUAAAGGGCGUGUAGGCGGAGAUGCAAGUCAGAUGUGAAAUCUGGGGGCUCAACCCCCAAACUGCAUUUGAAACUGUAUCCCUUGAGUAUCGGAGAGGCAGGCGGAAUUCCUAGUGUAGCGGUGAAAUGCGUAGAUAUUAGGAGGAACACCAGUGGCGAAGGCGGCCUGCUGGACGACAACUGACGCUGAGGCGCGAAAGCGUGGGGAGCAAACAGGAUUAGAUACCCUGGUA
rnacentral:rRNA from 1 species